rnacentral:rRNA from 1 species
AACGAACGCUGGCGGCAGGCUUAACACAUGCAAGUCGAACGCUCGUAGCAAUACGGGAGUGGCGGACGGGUGAGUAACGCGUGGGAACGUGCCCUGAGGUACGGAAUAACUGCGGGAAACUGCAGCUAAUACCGUAUGAGCCCCGCAAGGGGAAAGAUUUAUCGCCUUGGGAGCGGCCCGCGUCGGAUUAGCUAGUUGGUGGGGUAACGGCCUACCAAGGCUUCGAUCCGUAGCUGGUCUGAGAGGACGAUCAGCCACACUGGGACUGAGACACGGCCCAGACUCCUACGGGAGGCAGCAGUGGGGAAUCUUGCGCAAUGGGGGCAACCCUGACGCAGCCAUGCCGCGUGAAUGAUGAAGGCCUUAGGGUUGUAAAGUUCUUUUGCCCGUGACGAUGAUGACGGUAACGGGAGAAUAAGCUCCGGCUAACUUCGUG